GCUCCGGAGGGGCUGUCCGGGGUGGUCGCUGGGGAGAGCCCUGGGCUGAAGGGUUGAAGGCUGAGCAGACUGAAGAAGCUGCUGGUGGUGGGUGGUAGACGCCCAGGGUGUGGGGACAGAAGCGGACGUCCUGUAUGAUCCAGUGACCCAGAGAUAGCGAGAGACACAGGAAAUGGAUGGACAAUGACCCUGCGCCUUCCUGCCUCCUGCCAAGGGUGGCUCUGAGCCUUCAGGUGGCUUCUUCGGAAAGAGAAAGUUCCCGGACCCUCGUGCAGCUGAGGCGUGAGGACAGCUUGAGCCCAGCUCCCCAAACGGGUGGGGGUGGGCAGCACCUCAGUGAGCGACACCCUCGCCGAGCAGAGCCCUAGGCUCCAUCUGGGCACCAGAUCUUUUGGGCCAGGCGGCGCACACCUUUAAUUCCCGCUUGGGAGGAACAAGCAGGCAGAUGCCUGUGAAUUCUAGACCAGCCUGGUCUAUAUAAUGAGUACUAAGCCACGCAGGGCUAGAAGUUGGAGCUGGGUGUCUGAGCAGGUGGCUACCUUUCGUGGAGACAGUCUCUGUCCAGGAGGACUUGGGAGGUGGAGAUAGACUGAUAGAGUUCAAGGUCAUCCUCAGCAACAAAGUGAGUUCAAGGCCAGCCUGGGCUACGUGAGAUACUGCUCAAAAACAAAUACUAGAAGCAGGUGGAGAACUCAAACUUUCACUGUCGGCCAGCUACACAACCCACACACUGUCCCGCCAUCCAUGGCUGGUGUUUGUGAUCCCCUAUCUCAGGCUGAAGCAGCCUCCUAAGGCAGAGGGAGGAAGGAGGAGGGAGGGAAAAGAAAAGGGGAGAGGAGGAGAAGGAAGAAGGAGGUGGGGGAAGAGGAGGGUCUGUGUGUGAGAGAGAGAGUGUGAGAAAGUGUGUGUGUCUGUGAGUAUGUGAGAGAGAGGGAAAGCGUGUGAGUUCAUACAUGUGUGUCUGUGUGAGUGUGUGCUCGGGCAUGUGUGUCUGUGUGUGAGGCAGAGAGAGGGGGAGACAGUGUGUGUGUGUGUGUGUGUGUGUGUGUGUGUGUGUGUGUGUGUCCUGAGAUGGGAAGUGCUCUAGCACGGGAGGUGAGGGCACAGUGUCUGGAACAGAGUGACGAGGAUCCGAAGGCCCUGGAGAAGCCACUGAAGGCACCUGAGCAGGAGGACUCCCAUGUGCCCUUCCAUGCUCAGGAGCUGCAUAGCCUGUUUGCGGACAGGCUCUCACACACUCACUGCGAAGCCCGGGCUGGCCUUGAACUCAAUAGGCAGCCAGGCUGUGAAUGGAUCCCCUGUCUCCACCACCCCUGCAUGGAAUGACAGGGCCCAGCACACCCAGGCCUGUGGCAGAGGACUGGAGGGUGUGCUUGCAUGUGUGUGUCUGUGUGUGAUCCUCUGUUCCUCAAGGAUGAGCUGAGCUCACUUUCCUCCCACGCGGCAGGAAGCCCAUCCCUGGAGCCCUCUUCCUGCCCCUGCCUUCCUCUUUCCAAGGGGCCCUUAGGUCUUAUCACUGAGUCCCAGCCACAGUAGCAGGAAGAACACCUGUUUCCGGGAGAAGAAGGGACACCCCAGCCCAAGGUGUCAGGCCCUGGCCUGCAGCAAGGGUGUUACUGAGCCCUAUAUUAGGUACCCACUGUUUGCACAAGGAGACACACACAUCGCCAAGGACCUGGGUUUGAUGUUUUCUUUUUUUUUGGGGGGGAGGGGCUUUUGAGACAGGGUUUCUCUGUGUAGCCCUGGCUGUCCCCGACUCACUCUGUAGACCAGGCUGGUUUUGAACUCACAGAGAUCCUCCUGCCUCUUCCUCCCUAGUGCUGGUGUUAGGCCCAGCAAAAGCCUAAAUAUAAGAAGGUAUGAAGAGAACUCAGGAAACUAAUCAUCCAUCAAUGCAAAAACGCAAGAGACUCUUCUUGACCAUUGCAGUGGGGUCACCUCUGCUGGUCAGCUAGGAGUGGCCCCAGGAGACAAAGACCUUGGGUUUUUAAAAGACACAAGGCGGGAAUCUCCUGGCGUUGCCUUCUUGGCGAUUUAGGGUUGGAUGAAGUGUUUAACUUUUAAAAUAAUUGGUUGGUUCUGGGCACCCUUAGGUCCAGUCAGUCCUGCCGUAAAUAUCUGAUCUCCAAGUCAGUUUGGAAUUUCUUGCCACAUGAGAUAUAGCCACAGUUAAAGAUGGGAGAGUAACUAAUUUAUCCCGUGUCUAUUCUGAGGAAUGGGGGUUACAGGCUUUGGAUCAAAGGUCAGGAACUAUGCAGGAGAACGAUUGGGGUCAUUUGGCCCAGUUUCUAAACAAAGCCCAUCUCACCAGCGCCAGCCAGUGAUUUUUUUCCAUUUAGUAGAGAUCUCUGCUUGUUCUCUUCCUUAUCUCUGCCCUCACAGAUGGCUAAUGUCAGGAACUUUUACAUUCCUCGGUUCUCUGGAGAAGCACUGAGAGGCUUUCAUUAACAUGGGCCUAAAACUUGCAAAUAUAAGUUAUAAGGCAAUUAAAAGAAACAUAGGUUCCAAAGUUAGUCUGAUUCUUUCACUGGGAUCACAGGCAAGCACCACUGCGCCCGGCUCUGGGUUUGAAUCUUUGUCUAGACUUGUCAGGGAUUGGUAGGGCUUGUUCCCCCAGCCGGGGUCUGGUGACAGGUAGAGACAUAGGGGUGUUUUAGAAGCAGGUUCUAGGUGCAGUGGUGUACACCUACCAUCCCAGCACCCAGGAGAAUGGGGCAGAAGGACUAGGAGUUCAAGGGCCAGCCUUAGGUACUUAACAAAUUUGAGGUCAGCCUAGAGGACAUGAAACCUUGUCUCUAAAUAAAAUUAAAUAACUGGGACCUUUGAUCCCAGCCCUUGGAGACAGAGGAGGGUGGGCCUGCACUAGUUUAAGGUAGAGGGAACUCCAGGCCAUCCAGGGCUACACAGUGAGACCCUGUCUCAAUAAGGGAGUGAAUGCGUACUGACCUGAUGUGUGGCUUAGAGGAGUCGUACACUCGCUGAGCCUCUGCCAUCCCAACCCAGAACAAAUACUAAAAACUAAGAACGAGCCCAGAAACCUGCCAUAGGGUGGCGCUUCUACCUCAGCCUCUUAAGUUGGGGAAACUGAGGCUAGGAAUAGGUGUGGGCCUGCCGACAGGACUUGAGCUGAGAGAGGUGUAGAAGGUGUUAGGGCUCAGCCUCCCUCUUGUAUGCAGAAGACCCAGAAUUUAGGAGUUCAGGGCUGGAGAGAUGGCUCAGUCGUUAGGAGCGCUCAAAGCUCUUAGAGAAAACCUGAGUUCAGUUCCCAGCACCCACACGGCAGCCUCCAAACACCGUGACUCCAGUCCCAGGGCAUCUGACGCCCUCUGCUGGCUGCUUCGGGUACUGCAUGCAUAUGUGGCACAGAAAGACAUGCAGGUAAACAUCAGCGCGAAUAAAGAGAAAACAUGAAACAAAAACAAAGUGGAAAGUGAUCAGUUAAUGAAGACACCUGAUGUCAACCUCUGACCUCGGCACAUACCUACACAU